rnacentral:rRNA from 1 species
AACGAACGCUGGCGGCGUGCUUAACACAUGCAAGUCGAACGCGAAAGGGGCUGGAGAAGCGAGUAGAGCGGCAGACGGGUGAGUAACACGUGGAUAACCUACCCCAAAGCGGGGGAUAACCACUCGAAAGGGUGGCUAAUACCGCAUAAGACCACGUCCUUGCGAGGAUGUGGUAAAAGGCUUCGGCCACUUUGGGAGGGGUCCGCGGUCGAUUAGCUAGUUGGUGAGGUAAUGGCUUACCAAGGCGACGAUCGAUAGCUGGUCUGAGAGGAUGAUCAGCCACACUGGUACUGAGACACGGACCAGACUCCUACGGGAGGCAGCAGUGGGGAAUAUUGCGCAAUGGACGAAAGUCUGACGCAGCAACGCCGCGUGGGUGAAGAAGGUUUUCGGAUCGUAAAGCCCUGUCAGAUGGGAGAAACCUGCUAGUCAGCUGACGGUACCAUCAAAGGAAGCACCGGCUAACUCCGUGCCAGCAGCCGCGGUAAUACGGAGGGUGCAAGCGUUGUUCGGAAUUACUGGGCGUAAAGGGCGCGUAGGCGGCCUGUCAAGUCCGAUGUGAAAGCCCGGGGCUCAACCCCGGAAGUGCAUUGGAAACUGGCAGGCUUGAGUUCGGGAGAGGAGGGCAGAAUUCCUGGUGUAGGGGUGAAAUCCGUAGAUAUCAGGAGGAAAAUCAGUGGCGAAGGCGGCCCUCUGGAACGAAACUGACGCUGAGGCGCGAAAGCGUGGGGAGCAAACAGGAUUAGAGACCCUGGUAGUCCACGCCGUAAACGAUGGGUGCUAGGUGUGGGAAUUCUUAAGAAUUUCCGUGCCGUAGCUAACGCGAUAAGCACCCCGCCUGGGGAGUACGGUCGCAAGACUAAAACUCAAAGGAAUUGACGGGGGCCUGCACAAGCGGUGGAGUAUGUGGUUUAAUUCGACACAACGCGCAGAACCUUACCUGGGUUUGACAUCCCGUGACCGCCAUAGAGAUAUGGUUUUCCCUUCGGGGACACGGUGACAGGUGCUGCAUGGCUGUCGUCAGCUCGUGUCGUGAGAUGUUGGGUUAAGUCCCGCAACGAGCGCAACCCCUGUCCUAUGUUGCCAGCAGGUUAAGCUGGGCACUCUUAGGAGACUGCCGGUGUCAAGCCGGAGGAAGGUGGGGAUGACGUCAAGUCCUCAUGGCCCUUAUGCCCAGGGCUACACACGUACUACAAUGGCCGGUACAAAGAGCAGCUAACUCGCAAGAGCACGCAAAUCUCAAAAAGCCGGUCUCAGUUCGGAUUGGAGUCUGCAACUCGACUCCAUGAAGGCGGAAUCG